rnacentral:rRNA from 1 species
UUGGGAUCCGUGCCGUAGCUAACGCAUUAAGUACCCCGCCUGGGGAGUACGGCCGCAAGGCUAAAACUCAAAGAAAUUGACGGGGGCCCGCACAAGCGGCGGAGCAUGUGGAUUAAUUCGAUGCAACGCGAAGAACCUUACCUGGGUUUGACAUGCACAGGACGCCGGCAGAGAUGUCGGUUCCCUUGUGGCCUGUGUGCAGGUGGUGCAUGGCUGUCGUCAGCUCGUGUCGUGAGAUGUUGGGUUAAGUCCCGCAACGAGCGCAACCCUUGUCUCAUGUUGCCAGCACGUAAUGGUGGGGACUCGUGAGAGACUGCCGGGGUCAACUCGGAGGAAGGUGGGGAUGACGUCAAGUCAUCAUGCCCCUUAUGUCCAGGGCUUCACACAUGCUACAAUGGCCGGUACAAAGGGCUGCGAUGCCGUGAGGUGGAGCGAAUCCUUUCAAAGCCGGUCUCAGUUCGGAUCGGGGUCUGCAACUCGACCCCGUGAAGUCGGAGUCGCUAGUAAUCGCAGAUCAGCAACG